rnacentral:rRNA from 1 species
GACGAACGCUGGCGGCGUGCUUCAUACAUGCAAGUCGAACGAGAAGCUGACUUCGGUCUGUGGAAAGUGGCGGACGGGUGAGUAAGAUGUAGGAAAUCUGCCUUUAGGAGGGGGACAACAGAGGGAAACUUCUGCUAAUACCCCAUAUGAGCGUAGCUGAAAUGCUAUUCUUGAAAACUCCGGUGCCUAGAGAUGAGCCUGCAUCUGAUUAGCUAGUUGGUAGUGUAAUGGACUACCAAGGCGACGAUCAGUAGCUGGCUUGAGGGGAUGAUCAGCCACAAUGGGACUGAGACACGGCCCAUACUCCUACGGGAGGCGGCGGUAGGGUAUUUUGCGCAAUGGGCGAAGGCCUGACGCAGCAACGCCGCGUGAACGAUUAAGCCCUUCGGGGUGUAGAGUUCUGUCAGUGGGGACGAAACUUGACGGUACCCACAGAGGAAGCACCGGCUAACUCCGUG